GACGAACGCUGGCGGCGUGCUUAACACAUGCAAGUCGAACGGUGAAGCGCCUUCCUUUUUGGUGGGUGUGGAUGAGUGGCGAACGGGUGAGUAACACGUGAGUAACCUGCCCCCUUCUUCUGGAUAACCGCAUGAAAGUGUGGCUAAUACGGGAUAUUCUGGGUCUGUCGCAUGAUGGGUCUGGGAAAGAUAUUGUUUCGGUGGGGGAUGGGCUCGCGGCCUAUCAGCUUGUUGGUGGGGUGAUGGCCUACCAAGGCGGUGACGGGUAGCCGGCCUGAGAGGGUGGACGGUCACACUAGGACUGAGACACGGCCCAGACUACUGCGGGCGGCAGCAGUGAGGAAUAUUGCACAAUGGGCGCAAGCCUGAUGCAGCGACGCCGCGUGAGGGAUGGAGGCCUUCGGGUUGUGAACCUCUUUCGCCAGUGAAGCAGGCCUGCCUCGUUUGUGGGUGGGUUGACGGUAGCUGGAGAAGAAGCGCCGGCUAACUACGUG
rnacentral:rRNA from 1 species